UCGGUGCUGCGCAGGCGGCUGUAGAGGGCCUGCUCGGCGGGCGGGCCGCUGAGGUGGCUGACGCGGCUCGGGCCGUAGAACUCGGCCGCGUCGGGC
rnacentral:tRNA from 1 species